AUUGACUAGGAAGAAUAUAGAAGUUAUGGAAGAUUAGGAGAGAUAAGAUUGAGGGGACAGGUUGAGAUUGACUAGGAAGAAUAUAGGAAGUUAUGGAAGGGCAUUGUGGAAGAUUAGGGGAGAUAAGAUUGAGGGGACAGGAUGAGAUUGACUAGGAAGAAUAUAGGAAGUUAUGGAAGGGCAUUGUGGAAGAUUAGGAGAGAUAAGAUUGAGGGGACAGGAUGAGAUUGACUAGAAAGAAUAUAGGAAGUUAUGGAAGAUUAGGAGAGCUAAGAUUGAGGGGACAGGAUGAAUUUAGGAAGUUAUGGAAGGGCAUUGUGGAAGAUUAGGGGAGAUAAGCUUCAGGAGGACAAUAUAGGGAUUGGGUAAGGGAACAAACUGAAUGACCACAUAAAGGUGAGGAAACAGGAAAUUGACUGACUAAAUAAAAGGUAGAAAGAUUAAGGGACAGGGAAGAAAUGAUUGGUCAGAGGAAAAAAUGGAGUGACUGGAUAAAAUAUAGUUUGGUUUAAGGUGGCAGAAAGUGAUUAGUGAGUGAGUGCUUAGGUCUAGGAAAUGAAGAUAGACCUACUGUUUUAGUUAAUGAUUGUGGGGUGAAGGCUGGUAAUGUAUUGAGUGCUUAGGUCUAGGAAAUUAAGAUAUAGGCCUGUUUUAGUUAAUGAUAGUGGGGUGAAGGCUGGUAAUGUAUUGAGUGCUUAGGCCUAGGAAAUUAAGAUAUAGGCCUGUUUUAGUUAAUGAUAGUAGAGUGAAGGCUGGUAAUAUAUUCAGUGGUAAGUGAGUGAGUGCUUAGGUCUAGGAAAUUAAGAUAUAGGCCUGUUUUAGUUAAUGAUAGUAGAGUGAAGGCUGGUAAUAUAUUGAGUGGUAAGUGAGUGAGUGCUUAGGUCUAGGAAAUUAAAGAUAUAGGCCUGUUUUAGUUAAUGAUAGAGUGAAGGCUGGUA